ensembl:lncRNA novel transcript
CUCAUUCUGUCUUGCCGCCACAAUGUAAGAAUUGUCUCUCACCCUCUGCCAUGUAAGAAUUCUCUUUCACCCUCUGCCGUGAUCGUGAGACCUUCCCCAGCCAUGUGAAACUGGUCUCACUCUGUCGCCCAGGCUGCAGUGCAGUGGUGUGAUCAUGGCUCACCGCAGCCUUGACCUCCUAGGCUCAAGCGAUCCUUUCACCUCAGCUUCCUAAGUAGCCAGGACUACAGUUUUCAGCUUUCCUCCACUGUUUUGGGAAACGUCACCUUCUUAUCUUGGAAGAGUAAUCUCAAAAUUGAAGCAUCUUAGAUCCAACAAGAAUUAAAAGGAUGGGAAGUCCUUGCAGCCAUCCAAUAGAGUCAGAAGACUUUGGAUUUUGGAGUCUGUGAGAUUAUCUUACAGAGCAAGACUGCAGAUCAAGAUUUUCCAACGUGGUGCUGACUUUUUUGAGAACAGUUAAUGAGAACUAGGAAAGUCCUUGCAGACCAUCCAGUCCAGCGGCUUUCAAAUGGAAAAUGUGAAAGGACAACAGAAUCACAUGGAUUCUUUUCUGAACUGCUUUUUUCCAGUGAUGCCAUAUUCUAUAAGACUUCAUGUGAAGGUGUGGAGGACGGGAUGUACUCACAUCCCAACAAAUUGAAAAUGCUGACCAAUCCCAGCACAGCCAACUCGAAUUUGCUCCUUCAUCAAAGUGACCAGCACCUCAUUUCUUCCUCUUUAGAAUUUAUAGUUCAGGAACUUUGCAGAUCUCUUAUUAACUCUUCAGUUAAUAAUGAGAGUCCUAUGGCUAUUGAUAUCUAACAUCCUGGCUUCACUCACAUGGAUGAGCCCCACCUGGAAUGCCUAGAAGACGUGGGACAGCUGGAUCUCUCUCCACACGGUUUUUCAU